GACGAACGCUGGCGGCGUGCUUAACACAUGCAAGUCGAGCGGUAAGGCCCUUUCGGGGGUACACGAGCGGCGAACGGGUGAGUAACACGUGGGUGACCUGCCCUCAGCUCUGGGAUAAGCCUGGGAAACCGGGUCUAAUACCGGAUAUGACUCCAUGACGCACGUUGUGGGGUGAAAGCCUUGUGCGGCUGAGGAUGGGCCCGCGGCCUAUCAGCUUGUUGGUGGGGUGANGGCCUACCAAGGCGACGACGGGUAGCCGGCCUGAGAGGGCGACCGGCCACACUGGGACUGAGACACGGCCCAGACUCCUACGGGAGGCAGCAGUGGGGAAUCUUGCGCAAUGGGCGAAAGCCUGACGCAGCGACGCCGCGUG
rnacentral:rRNA from 1 species